rnacentral:rRNA from 1 species
CGCCGCGUGAGGGAUGGAGGCCUUCGGGUUGUAAACCUCUUUUUAUCGGGGAGCAAGCGAGAGUGAGUUUACCCGUUGAAUAAGCACCGGCUAACUACGUGCCAGCAGCCGCGGUAAUACGUAGGGUGCAAGCGUUAUCCGGAAUUAUUGGGCGUAAAGGGCUCGUAGGCGGUUCGUCGCGUCCGGUGUGAAAGUCCAUCGCUUAACGGUGGAUCCGCGCCGGGUACGGGCGGGCUGGAGUGCGGUAGGGGAGACUGGAAUUCCCGGUGUAACGGUGGAAUGUGUAGAUAUCGGGAAGAACACCAAUGGCGAAGGCAGGUCUCUGGGCCGUUACUGACGCUGAGGAGCGAAAGCGUGGGGAGCGAACAGGAUUAGAUACCCUGGUAGUCCACGCCGUAAACGGUGGAUGCUGGAUGUGGGGCCCGUUCCACGGGUUCCGUGUCGGAGCUAACGCGUUAAGCAUCCCGCCUGGGGAGUACGGCCGCAAGGCUAAAACUCAAAGAAAUUGACGGGGGCCCGCACAAGCGGCGGAGCAUGCGGAUUAAUUCGAUGCAACGCGAAGAACCUUACCUGGGCUUGACAUGUUCCCGACCGCUCCAGAGAUGGGGCUUCCCUUCGGGGCGGGUUCACAGGUGGUGCAUGGUCGUCGUCAGCUCGUGUCGUGAGAUGUUGGGUUAAGUCCCGCAACGAGCGCAACCCUCGCCCCGUGUUGCCAGCGGAUUAUGCCGGGAACUCACGGGGGACCGCCGGGGUUAACUCGGAGGAAGGGUGGGGAUGACGUCAGAUCAUCAUGCCCCUUUACGUCAGGGGCUCACGCAUGCUACAAUGGGCGGUACAACGGGAUGCGACGCGGCGACGCGAAGCGGAUCCCUGAAAAACCGUCUCAGUUCCGAUCGCAGUCUGCAACUCGACUGCGUGAAGGCNGAGUCGCUAGUAAUCGCGAAUCAGCAACGUCGCGGGUGAUGCGUUCCCGGGCCUGUACACACGCCCGUCAAGUCAUGAAAGUGGCAGCCCCGAAGCCGGUGCUAAAC